rnacentral:lncRNA from 1 species
GGUCUUGAUGAGUACAUUCCAAAUAUCAUAAAAGCUAACCCUAAUUCUCAACAUAUUUUCUGGAUCGAAGGAAAUAAGUUUCUAGAUCUAAACUUUAAUUCAACAUAACUCACUCAAUUUUCAUCCAAAUUCAACAAAAUUUAUAUCAGAAUUCUCAGUGAUGAAAGCUCUACAAGUUUAUGUACAUAAAAUCAAGAUUUAUGAG